GAUGAACGCUGGCGGCGUGCCUAAUACAUGCAAGUCGAGCGAACAGACGAGGAGCUUGCUCCUCUGACGUUAGCGGCGGACGGGUGAGUAACACGUGGAUAACCUACCUAUAAGACUGGGAUAACUUCGGGAAACCGGAGCUAAUACCGGAUAAUAUAUUGAACCGCAUGGUUCAAUAGUGAAAGACGGUUUUGCUGUCACUUAUAGAUGGAUCCGCGCCGCAUUAGCUAGUUGGUAAGGUAACGGCUUACCAAGGCGACGAUGCGUAGCCGACCUGAGAGGAUGAUCGGCAACACUGGAACUGAGACACGGUCCAGACUCCUACGGGAGGCAGCAGUAGGGAAUCUUCCGCAAUGGGCGAAAGCUUGACGGAGCAACGCCGCGUGAGUGAUGAAGGUCUUCGGAUCGUAAAACUCUGUUAUUAGGGAAGAACAAAUGUGUAAGUAACUAUGCACGUCUUGACGGUACCUAAUCAGAAAGCCACGGCUAACUACGUG
rnacentral:rRNA from 1 species